rnacentral:rRNA from 1 species
CCUACGGGAGGCAGCAGUGAGGAAUAUUGGUCAAUGGGCGUAAGCCUGAACCAGCCAAGUCGCGUGAGGGAUGAAGGUUCUAUGGUUCGUAAACCUCUUUUAUAGGGGAAUAAAGUGUGGGACGUGUCUUGUUUUGUAUGUACCUUAUGAAUAAGGAUCGGCUAACUCCGUGCCAGCAGCCGCGGUAAUACGGAGGAUCCGAGCGUUAUCCGGAUUUAUUGGGUUUAAAGGGUGCGUAGGCGGUUUUUUAAGUCAGCGGUGAAAGUCUGUGGCUCAACCAUAGAAUUGCCGUUGAAACUGGGAGGCUUGAGUGUGUUUGAGGCAGGCGGAAUGCGUGGUGUAGCGGUGAAAUGCUUAGAUAUCACGCAGAACCCCGAUUGCGAAGGCAGCUUGCUAAGCCAUGACUGACGCUGAGGCACGAAAGCGUCGGGAUCAAACAGGAUUAGAUACCCUUGUAGUC